rnacentral:rRNA from 1 species
GAUGAACGCUAGCGGCAGGCCUAAUACAUGCAAGUCGGACGGGAUUCAGGAGCUUGCUUCUGAUGAGAGUGGCGCACGGGUGCGUAACACGUAUGUAACCUACCUUUAUCAGGGGGAUAGCCUCUCGAAAGAGAGAUUAAGCCCGCAUAAAAUCACAGCACAGCAUUGUGUAAUGAUCAAAUAUUUAUAGGAUAAAGAUGGGCAUGCGGAACAUUAGCUAGGUGGCGGGGUAACGGCCCACCAUGGCGACGAUGUUUAGGGGAUCUGAGAGGAUGGCCCCCCACAUUGGUACUGAGACACGGACCAGGCUCCUGAGGGAGGCAGCAGUAAGGAAUAGUGGGCAAUGGGCGGAAGCCUGAACCAGCCAUGCCGCGUGCAGGAAGGCGGCCCUACGGGUUGUAAACUGCUCUUAGACGGGAAUAAACCCAGAUACGUGUAUCUGGCUGAAUGUACUGUAAGAAUAAGGAUCGGCUAACUCCGUG